UGUGUGUUUGUGUGUGUGUGUGUAAGAUCAGGGAUCCACAAUGCAUGAGUUUGGGAAGACCAGAUGACGAGACCUAGCUUACAAGGUCUCUGCCUGGCCUAUGAGAAUCACAGCAAUGCAAUGCCACUGUGUUCCUUCAGGAUGUGCCCACGUGCUGUGGGAUGUGUGCAUCCACCCAUUUGGAGGCUGUAAUCAAAGCUGGUGGUCAGAGCUGGUGUUGGACCUUCCUUCUGCACAAGCAUGAGUUGAUUAAUAGCAUUAAUUUUUACUCCACCUUGUGGUCUUCUGAUUUUUUCCCCAUGUACUUUGAAUUUACAGUACAAUUAGUAGAUUUUGAACAAAUAUUUUAACUGAAUGACUAAUUGAAUAAAUGAUUUAAUUAA